UCAGACGAUGCGUCAUGCAUAUCAAAAGCGGAGGAAAAGAAACUAACAAGGAUUCCCUUAGUAACGGCGAGUGAAGCGGGAAGAGCUCAAAUUUGAAAUCUUCAAGGUUUUACCUUGACGAAUUGUAGUUUAAAGAAGUGUUUUCUGCUGAAGUUUUGGUAAAAGUUCUUUGGAAUAGGACAUCAUAGAGGGUGAGAAUCCCGUAUUUGACCAUUAUUUUCAGCUUUGUGAUACACUUUCAAAGAGUCGGAUUGUUUGGGAAUGCAGUCCAAAAUGGGUGGUAAAUUUCAUCUAAAGCUAAAUAUUGGCGAGAGACCGAUAGCGAACAAGUACCGUGAGGGAAAGAUGAAAAGAACUUUGAAAAGAGAGUUAAACAGUACGUGAAAUUGUCAAAAGGGAAGCGUUUGACACCAGUGUUGUUUUCUCGAAAAUCAAUUAAAAAUGGCUCGAUUUUGUAUUGUCGAGACCUUAAAAGCUCACUGUACAUUUUUCGUGUCUUUUUUAAUGCACUUUUCGUUUAACAAGUCAACAUCAGUUUCUUUUGUUGUAAAAGGGUCAUUGGAAGGUGGCUUUCUUUUCGGAGAAAGUGUUUAUAGCCUUUGGCCUCUGCAAUCGGAGAGACUGAGGUCUGCAGCGUAGACUCUUCGGGGUUAGAUACAUUUGUGCUAAGUUAUAGCUUUUUAUAGACAACUUGUUGACUAUAAUUAGUCUUGUAGCUUACUCGCUUAUGCUAUUUUACCUACGCUUAGGAUGUUGAACUACUGAGACAUAGA
rnacentral:rRNA from 1 species